rnacentral:rRNA from 2 species
UACGGAGGGAGCUAGCGUUGUUCGGAAUUACUGGGCGUAAAGCGCACGUAGGCGGCGAUUCAAGUCAGAGGUGAAAGCCCGGGGCUCAACCCCGGAACUGCCUUUGAAACUAGAUUGCUAGAAUCCUGGAGAGGUGAGUGGAAUUCCGAGUGUAGAGGUGAAAUUCGUAGAUAUUCGGAAGAACACCAGUGGCGAAGGCGACUCACUGGACAGGUAUUGACGCUGAGGUGCGAAAGCGUGGGGAGCAAACAGG